CAAAAAAAUGUGAAUGUAUGAAUAGAGAGAGCUCUUGAGUUUAGGCUUUAGGUUCUAAAUUAAAAAAAUUAAUCUUAAAUAAAUUGAACUGUAUUUCCUCGAAUUGAAAAUUGACCACACAAAUGAGAUAAAUUAUUUUAAUUUAAAAAUUCCUCACUCUUUUCAGUCGUCUCGUGAUUAUCGGCUUCAAGCGACUGCGAAAUUGAUCGAUUACAGAUUCACUCAUCUAUGUGGCAUGUAAAGAAUGCAGAGAGCAUGGAGAUUGGAGACCUGUUAUUAGCACAACCAAUCUGUGGCCUGUUUUUGUUAGGUUGAACUGAUUUGAAAUAGGGCCAAUGGGAAAUAA